rnacentral:tRNA from 2 species
UCCGCGGUAGCUCAAUGGCAGAGCAGCUCGCUGUUAACGAGACGGUUGUAGGUUCGACUCCUACCCGCGGAG